AGUCAAAACCGCACACUUUCUGUCUACUCUUCAACCUCCAGGGGCAGGCGCCUCCUCCCUGUACAAGGAGGAAAGACGGAAGUGAAGAGGUGGCCCAGAGCAAGAGGGAAAGCUGGACACAGAAUCCAAAGUUGGUGCGGUUUCCUAGAGUCUCAUCUGCUUUCAGAACGCAGCCUGAUUCCUGGAGCAGCCCCCGCCCAGGAGAGGCCGGCACGCUUACCUCCAAACAUCUUAGAAAAGCUAACUCCCACUUACCCCUGAGAAUCUUCUAGCCUUAAACAUAAAAGUCCACAUUGGCAGCUGUUGAAGGACAGAUUAGGGAAGAGUGUCCAGCCCGCCCGCUGCCGGACCCCUGCUUGGUCACCGCGGUCACAUGGAGGGCUGGUGGACCCCUGCCCGGGCGCACCACUUGGAGGGCUGGGCGGAGACUCGAAAGCAGCAUAAUCCUUUAACUGGAGAAUGUGGUAUUUCCUCAUCCAUCUCCUAUUCACCCCUCUUUUGUUGCAAAUAAUUCAACGUCUCAUUUGCCCUAAUUUUCUUUCUUUAUAUCUUUGUAGCUGAGCCUUUCCCCCCCAUUCAUGUCCCUUACUAAUUGGAAGGUCUUUUAAAGAAAGUUCUCUUUGACAUUUGGUCUCUCA